UACAGAGGAGCCAAGCGUUGUCCGGAUUGACUGGGCGUAAAGCGCACGCAGGCGGAUGCGCGCGUGGGGUGUGAAAUCUGGCCGCUUAACGGCCAGGCGCCAUCCCAUACGGCGCGUCUGGAGUGAUGCAGAGGUCGGUGGAAUUGCCGGUGUAGCGGUGGAAUGCGCAGAUAUCAGGAGGAACACCGAUGGCGAAGGCAGCUCGCUGGGACGGUACUGACGCUGAGACGCGAAAGCGUGGGGAGCAAACAGG
rnacentral:rRNA from 1 species